rnacentral:rRNA from 1 species
GAGUUUGAUCAUGGCUCAGAUUGAACGCUGGCGGCAGGCCUAACACAUGCAAGUCGAGCGGUAGAGAGAAGCUUGCUUCUCUUGAGAGCGGCGGACGGGUGAGUAAUGCCUAGGAAUCUGCCUGGUAGUGGGGGAUAACGUUCGGAAACGGACGCUAAUACCGCAUACGUCCUACGGGAGAAAGCAGGGGACCUUCGGGCCUUGCGCUAUCAGAUGAGCCUAGGUCGGAUUAGCUAGUUGGUGGGGUAAUGGCUCACCAAGGCGACGAUCCGUAACUGGUCUGAGAGGAUGAUCAGUCACACUGGAACUGAGACACGGUCCAGACUCCUACGGGAGGCAGCAGUGGGGAAUAUUGGACAAUAGGCGAAAGCCUGAUCCAGCCAUGCCGCGUGUGUGAAGAAGGUCUUCGGAUUGUAAAGCACUUUAAGUUGGGAGGAAGGGCAGUAAAUUAAUACUUUGCUGUUUUGACGUUACCGACAGAAUAAGCACCGGCUAACUCUGUGCCAGCAGCCGCGGUAAUACAGAGGGUGCAAGCGUUAAUCGGAAUUACUGGGCGUAAAGCGCGCGUAGGUGGUUCGUUAAGUUGUAUGUGAAAUCCCCGGGCUCAACCUGGGAACUGCAUUCAAAACUGAC